GACGAAUGCUGGCUGCGUGCUUAACACAUGCAAGUCGAACGGUGAACAGGGGCUUGCCCCUGGGAUCAGUGGCGAACGGGUGAGUAACACGUGGGCAACCUGCCCCUCACUCUGGGAUAACUCCGGGAAACCGGGGCUAAUACCGGAUACGACCAGGCACGACAUCGGGUCUGGUGGAAAGAACUUCGGUGAGGGAUGGGCCCGCGGCCUAUCAGCUUGUUGGUGAGGUAAUGGCUCACCAAGGCGACGACGGGUAGCCGGCCUGAGAGGGCGACCGGCCACACUGGGACUGAGACACGGCCCAGACUCCUACGGGAGGCAGCAGUGGGGAAUAUUGCGCAAUGGGCGAAAGCCUGACGCAGCGACGCAGCGUGAGGGACGAAGGGCCUUCGGGUUGUAAACCUCUUUCAGCGGGGACGAAGCGAAAGUGACGGUACCCGCAGAAGAAGCACCGGCUAACUACGUGCCAGCAGCCGCGGUAAU
rnacentral:rRNA from 1 species